UCGGGAAUUUUGGGCAAUGGGCGAAAGCCUGACCCAGCAACGCCGCGUGAGGGGUGAAGUAUUUCGGUAUGUAAACCUCGAAAGAAUGGGAAGAAUAAAUGACGGUACCAUUUAUAAGCUCCGGCUAACUACGUGCCAGCAGCCGCGGUAAUACGUAGGGAGCAAGCGUUGUUCGGAUUUACUGGGCGUAAAGGGCGCGUAGGCGGCGCGGUAAGUCACUUGUGAAAUCUCUGAGCUUAACUCAGAACGGCCAAGUGAUACUGCUGUGCUAGAGUGCGGAAGAGGCAACCGGAAUUCUUGGUGUAGCGGUGAAAUGCGUAGAUAUCAAGAGGAACACCUGAGGCGAAGGCGGGUUGCUGGGCCGACACCGACGCUGAUGCGCGAAAGCCAGGGGAGCAAACG
rnacentral:rRNA from 1 species